GGCACUUUGGCGGAGUGGUUAACGCGCGGGCCUGCUAAGCCCGUUCCUUCGGGAGGUGAGCUUAACCGCACUUCAUAACAUCUUGAUCAGGUAACUAACACAGCUGAAGCGUGAGUUCGAAUCUCACAGGUGUCG